rnacentral:rRNA from 1 species
UACGGGGGGGGCAAGCGUUGUUCGGAAUUACUGGGCGUAAAGGGCUCGUAGGCGGCCAACUAAGUCGGACGUGAAAUCCCUCGGCUUAACCGGGGAACUGCGUCCGAUACUGGAUGGCUGGAGGUUGGGAGAGGGAUGCGGAAUUCCAGGUGUAGCGGUGAAAUGCGUAGAUAUCAGGAGGAACACCGAUGGCGAAGGCAGGUCUCUGGGCUGACACUGACGCUCAUGCACGAAAGCGUGGGGAGCAAACAGG